AGGCUCAGUAGUUGUGGCGCACGGGCUUAGCUGCUCCACCGCAUGUGGGAUCUUCCCGGACCAGGGAUCAAACCCAUGUCCCCUGCACUGGCAGGCGGAUUCUUAACCACUGUGCCACCAGGGAGGCCUGUUAACCCCCUUUAAAGAGAAACUUUAAAAAAUUUACUGAAGCAUAAUGUUGAUGUUGUAACUGUUAAAGAGAGAGACCAAAUUUAU